rnacentral:rRNA from 1 species
GAUCCUGGCUCAGGAUGAACGCUGGCGGCGUGCCUAACACAUGCAAGUCGAACGGGGUUAUUUAGGAAAUUCCUUUCGGGGAAUGGAAUCUUUAACCUAGUGGCGGACGGGUGAGUAACGCGUGAGCAAUCUGCCUUUAGGAGGGGGAUAACGACCGGAAACGGUCGCUAAUACCGCAUGAAGUGCCGGGUGGGCAUCCACCUGGCACCAAAGGAGCAAUCCGCCUUUAGAUGAGCUCGAGUCCCAUUAGCUAGUUGG